rnacentral:rRNA from 1 species
UACGGAGGGUGCAAGCGUUAUCCGGAUUUACUGGGUUUAAAGGGUGUGUAGGCGGGCUUUUAAGUCAGUGGUGAAAUCUCCGGGCUCAACCUGGAAACUGCCAUUGAUACUAUUAGUCUUGAAUUUUGUUGAGGUAGGCGGAAUAAGUCAUGUAGCGGUGAAAUGCAUAGAUAUGACUUAGAACACCAAUUGCUAAGGCAGCUUGCUAAACAAAUAUUGACGCUGAGGCACGAAAGCGUGGGGAUCAAACAGG